UACGUAGGGGGCGAGCGUUGUCCGGAGUUACUGGGCGUAAAGGGCAUGCAGGCGGUCGGACGCGUUUUGUGUGACAGCGGGUGGCUUAACUGCCCGAGGAUACGAAAGACGGUUUGACUUGAGGGCUCGAGAGGGACACGGAAUUCCGGGUGGAGUGGUGAAAUGCGUAGAGAUCCGGAGGAACACCAAAGGCGAAGGCAGUGUCCUGGUGAGCACCUGACGCUGAGGUGCGAAAGCUAGGGGAGCGAACGGG
rnacentral:rRNA from 1 species